AUACGUAGGGGGCGAGCGUUGUCCGGAAUGAUUGGGCGUAAAGGGCGCGUAGGCGGCCCGGUAAGUCUGGAGUGAAAGCCCUGCUUUUAAGGUGGGAAUUGCUUUGGAUACUGUCGGGCUUGAGUGCAGGAGAGGUAAGUGGAAUUCCCAGUGUAGCGGUGAAAUGCGUAGAGAUUGGGAGGAACACCAGUGGCGAAGGCGACUUACUGGACUGUAACUGACGCUGAGGCGCGAAAGUGUGGGGAGCAAACAGGAUUAGAUACCCUGGUAGUCCACACUGUAAACGAUGAAUGCUAGGUGUAGGGGGUAUCGACCCCUUCUGUGCCGCAGUUAACACAAUAAGCAUUCCGCCUGGGGAGUACGGCCGCAAGGUUGAAACUCAAAUGAAUUGACGGGG
rnacentral:rRNA from 1 species